GCCUGGGUGGCUCAGUCGGUUGAGCGUCUGACUUCAGCUCAGGCUGUGAUCUCGUGGUCCGUGAGUUCGAGCCCCGUGUCAGGCU
rfam:Felis catus isolate Cinnamon breed Abyssinian chromosome B2, whole genome shotgun sequence.